AAACUUUUGAACGUGUUCAUCACUGCUGAGAUAGGUCGCCAUAAACAACAGAUCCAUUAUUUCUAUUGUACGCUAACUCAUAUUUGGUAGCUCGUUUUCUUUGAAUCUGUAAGUGGAAUGUUGAAGGUUUGCAGGGCUUCGGUAAUUGUAAUGAACACAGUCUCUGCUGUAAUAGAUGACACCAUGCUACACAGAGCACUGUGAGCAGUUUUUUGUUUUUGUUUUUGUUCGUUUUUUUUGAGAGAGAGAGAGUUUUCGCCAGGACAUUUACGAGUGAGCCGUUAUCCUCCUGGCUUUGCGUCUGCUGAGAUCAUGUAAUGGCUUCAUCCAGCGGACACUUCCACUGUUACGCACGGGUGGCUUUGAAUAUUUAUUUCAUGGCACCGAAGGCUGAAAAUGAAUUAACAAUUAAUACAGAAGUCUGCUGCCAGUUUAUGGCGCUGUUUUAAAAAGACACCAGUGCGGAGCUUUACUUUACCAGCACCGACCGACACAACAAAGAAGAGAGAGUAAUGGGUCGAAUACGCUGUAUUUUUUCACAUCCGGUUUGAGCCCGCAUGUGAGCGCAAAAGAAGAACCACAGAUCGACUUGAUCCGCAGAUUAUCUCGCUCGAGGAAUGAAGUCCCAGGACUCAUUCUAAUACACCGGAUUAUGAGCUUUUGUGCUUUCAGCAUGGCAUCAGAGUGCCGGCUGUGAAGCUGAGCUUUUCCACUGGUAUAGACUCGCCAAGGUGGCCGAUCAGCGCGCAAGUUGAACCCAGCUAUGAUGUAAGUCAGAUCUUCCAGUGGCUGGUGGCCAGUGCCGACUGGGACAGCUUCCAGCCUCAGAGGACUGCGAUUAACCCAGGAGCGGUCAAACUCGGCAGGACGCCCUCCACAACCAGCCACAGCUAUUUAUCCACUUUCCAAUGAAACCAAUUACUUUUACAGCAAGCCCCAGCGCCAACAUUAUAUGUGUUGUUCUUGCAGACCAAAAGAGUAUGGCUUUGAAAAGAGAGCCAGGCAUGAAGUAGGAAACCCUCCUGAGCUGCUCCAGCAGGCUGUAAAAUAUACCUAAAGUCAGUAUCCAUGGAGACUAGCUGGUGUGUGAGAGCAGCCUGAAGGAUACACGUGGAUAUUAUUACUAUUGCUAUUUACUGUUCUUUGUCUUUUACUUGUUAUUGUAGAGUGUUAGUUUUUACACAGUUUCCUCUGGGAUUAAUACAUGAUUCCGAUUCUGAGUAAUAGUGUUGGAGUUGCUACAAAUUUCCUUCAUGUAGCUACCAGAAGAAAUGUUUUUAAUGUAAAUCUGCUUACACCUUGCUUAUAUUUAUUUAUAUGUUUUACAAUGUGCUUAUUGCAGGACAUCACAGCUUUUAACAAAUUCUGAUAUUUUAGCUUCUUUUUUGAAAAUUAAAUUUCAACAGUUGUAAAAGUCACAGCAUGUUAACUUCAUAGAACUUUUUCAGUCAUUUUCAUCUUCUUUUCACUAUGAAAAUGACCUUGCAGAAACAGAGGGAAAUGCAAGCGCAAGGGCUUUUCUACAAAAAUUGUAUAAGAAAAAUCUAGAAAACAUCCAGUUAUUGUUUGACACAUUAAGGACGCAUUACUUCUUCCAUUAACAUUGAGCUGUGUAAGUGUAAAUGUUCAUUUUACUACUGCUACUCAAGCAAGUUUCAGUCUGAUUUUCACAGAUGCAAGAUCUCGAGCCAAUUAACUUUAAUUUAUAAUUAUUAUAAUUUAAUAUUAAUAAAAAUAUGAUUUUAUCAUUUUAUAAUUUUUAUUUGUUAUGUUAAAAUUUCUUCUCUGUUUUCAGAGUCAAGUGAUUAUAUGACUCACAAAUGCACAGAAAAUACUGCAACCAACACUGCAAAGUGCUGACAAACACAGUAAACCAAAUAGCUUAUAUAAUACAAACCAACCACAAUGGUUGCCCAGGGUAACAUGUUCACAUUGCUUUUGGCAACUGACUUGCUCUGAAAAAUACCCAAAGAUGUUGAGUGCACUGCAGUCUUACAAAUGUUAACUUCUGAGAAUCUGUGACUAAAGAUCAUUUCUGCUUUGUUUGGUGCUGAUUAGCAUUUUCCUUUACUGCUGAACGAAAAUCUAAUGAAGCUCCAUUUAAGGCUUUUGGAGGGCUUUUCUUGACAUUAGAAUCCACAGGCUAACAGUAAAAUGAGGGGGCAUAUUUUUUGAAUUAUGUUGACAAGGUUGUUUUUUUUCUGCAUCUGUCCAAUAAAUGUCAUGUUAAAGUGUUGUUAUUAGGUUACUAGUCGUAAGUAAGGAAAGGACGAGGACAGCAGACUCAGUUAAUAAAGCAGUCAUAUCACUGAUCGCUGGCUGGGCUAAUUGACAGACACAUGAAGAGAAAACUACUAAUUGAUUAUAGGCUUGUCCUAUUCUAGCGCAGGAGGUGACUGAUGGAAAAUGUGAAUUGGCCUGAGAGAUGCUUUAUGCCUAUGUCUACAUUUGGAUUUCUGUUUCGAUGAAAAACUUUCUGCACAGUGCUUUCUGCUUGAAAUUUCUACGUUCUUUAAGGUGCAAUAAAAAAAGUGGUGGUUUUUAUAGUUAUUUGUGUGUCUUGACAGUUGUGCUGUCACUUAGCAGAGGGUCUCCAGGCUUUCUAAUACAGUCCCACUGAGCUUAUAUCCAAAAGAAGUAUUUACUUUUAACCAAGUGAAGCCUGAACCAUGAAAUGUUUUUUUGAAACUGGGAUGUUUACUGAGCCUUCUGACCAAUAAAAAAUAAAUAAAUAAAUGAAAUAUCAGUUUACAUAUAUGAGCAUUGAUUUGCAUAAAUUCUGCUACAUCUGACUGUAUACAUCAGGCUUUUCAGGAAAAAUUAUACUAAGUAGGGGUCCCACAAACCCAUGUAUAAAACACGAUACUCUUGGCUUUACAGGAUCAGCUUUUCUAUUCUAAUCUGGUUUGAAUGUAGAGAACAGUGUAACUGCACAGCAUGGCCAUCACUGCCUGUCUACCUCUGAGCUGAACCAGUGAGGACAAUCCCUAAGAAAAUGUUAAGGAUUAUGACAUUUAAAUUGUGUUUUUGUUUUCUUAUAGUUUAAAUUAUUGUUAACACGCUCAUCUUUGCUAGAUAGUUCAGGCAGUAUCCAAUGUCACAGACAUUAAACUGAUGGCCAAGAAACAUUACAGACAUUAGCACAAUUUUGCCUUUAGUAACAUUUUGCUCACUGUGACGCAAUGUUUUGGAAGGAUGUUCAAACAAUACUCAUUCAAUCACACAAUUUUUUACCAGAAACGACCAUGAUUUACAUUUCAGGAACGUCUCGCACAUUUAACAAACUUUUCUGUAAACACUUUUUAAUUCUUUUUUUCUAUUAAAUUAUUGCAAUUCAUAAAGAUUUCAGGUACAUAUUUGCUUUGUUUACACUGGACUGUUAUCUCUCUUGAAGAAUUUGGCAUGCUAUGACCCACAGAGCACUACACCCGAGCAUAUAUGCAAUGGUCUUAGUUACCAUGAAACAAUGUACCAUGUAGAGUUGUAU
ensembl:lncRNA